GGCUACUCUUGUGCCUCACAAUGGCUUGCAAGACAGAGCCAACGAACAGGCAGGUAGGAUUCCACCUUCCACCCAAAAAGACAACAGGUGCAUUUUCUUGUAAGUAAAGAAGUGUUUAUCACUGCAGACUAGUGAUACAAACUUGGCAUGAAGGAAAGAACAGAAAAUAGCCAAGGCAAAGGGGUAGCCACAAUAAGCCCAGUUCAGAUUCAAGGCCAAGGGGUUUCAAGACUUCAAAGGAACUGUGAAAUUGUCCCAACUAGUUUGCCUGCCUCCCCACCAAGCUUUUAAGCGGAGGUGAAAAACACCCAGCUACUUGCGAGAAUCCCUGUGCCUUAUGGCAGGAAUUAUUAAUAUUAAUAUUUAUCAGUCACCUUCCCCACAUGUCUCAAGUUGAUGUACAAAACACAAUAAACUAGCUAGAAAACAGUCAAGGGUAACGCAGAAAUUGAUGGUAGUUAUAUUUAAAAACAAUACAGAGUAGAUACUGGAGAUGGCAGGUUUGAAGGUGUUGUUAUUGUUUAGUCGUUUAGUCGUGUCCGACUCUUCAUGACCCCGUGGACCAGAGCACGCCAGGCACUCCUGUCUUCCAUGAGUUUGGUCAAACUCAUGCUGGUAGCUUCGAGAACACUGUCCAGCCAUCUCGUCCUCUGUCGUCCCCUUCUCCUUGUGCCCUCAAUCUUUCCCAACACCAGGGUCUUUUCCAGGGAGUCUUCUCUUCUCAUGAGAUGGCCAAAGUAUUGGAGCCUCAGCUUCAGGAUCUGUCCUUCCAGUGAGCACUCAGGGCUGAUUUCCUUCAGAAUGGAUAGGUUUGAAGGUAGAUUUCACUAAAUCUGAAGCAUUCAACAUACCUCCACUGGUACAAACUCACCUAUUUGCAUAGGUGGGUAACUCACUUGGUUAGAAUGUGGUGCUAAAAAUACCAUGGUUCCAGGUUUGAUCCCCUUAAGGGGCAACUGCAUAGAAAGGUGUGGGGGAUACAUGGCAGAGACUUAUUAAUCACAUACCAUUUUUUUCUCUUUCCAGCCCCUUUUUUCCCCUCCCCCCAUCCCACUAUUCCUCUUUGUCCAGCAAGUCAGAAGGAACAGGUCACUUUUGCCAGAGAUCUGAAGUGAUCACUGAGGGCUCCCCUUCCACAUUCAUUAUUCCAACCUUCCCCGUUUUUCCCCUUCCAGACUCCACCCCAUUUGCAAGAAAUCAGACUGAGGACCACAUGAAAUUAGGCCAAGGACUUCAGAUUACCCAUCCCUGUCUGAUGUGGCAGGUCACCUCCAUCCCCUUUUACCUGACCUAAACUCACAAGGACAAGCUUUAUUUAACGUCACUAUGUAUUUACAAUCAUUUGCCAUAUAAUUAUAGAAUUGUAGAGGGUCCCCUACACUCCUCUAGUUCAACCCCCUGCAAUGCAGGAAUGUCAGCUAAAGAAUCCUUGCGACUGAUGCUAAUAAUAGCAAUACAGUGGUACCUCGGGUUACAUAUGCUUCAGGUUACACACGUUUCAGGUUACAGACUCCGCUAACCCAGAAAUAUUACCUCGGGUUAAGAACUUUGCUUCAGGAUGAGAACAGAAAUCGUGCUCCGACAGCACAGCAGCAGCAGAAGGCCCCAUUAGCUAAAGUGGUGCUUCAGGUUAAGAACAGUUUCAGGUUACGAAUUUAGUACUUAACCUGAGGUACCAUUGUAUCUGGGCAUUAAAAAUUGCAUUCUUCCUGAGUUUUCCAGUUUCAUUAUCUUACUAAUAAUCUUAGCAAUGGCUCUGUAAGAUAGGGAGAUAUAGCAACCACAUAAUAAGCAAGGUUGAUUAGCCAGUCAUCUUAAUGACAUACCCUCCAAGUGUCCCAAUUUUCAGUCCUGGAAUUACGUACAAAAGCCAUCUUGGCUUCUGAUUUUAUAUUGGAAUGUCCCUAUUUCCCCCACCAGUUCCAUUGCUGCUGAGUUCAGAGAGGAGGAUGAGCAGGUCCUUGUCCCAAGUGAUGGUGGCAGGAGCAUCCCAUUGCCUCUCCAUGGCCACCACUGCUGGCCUCCUCCCUUGGGCAGCUCAUAGUGGCAUCUAUCUGGAGAGCGGGCAAGGAGGAGGAGAGAGGCUGCAGCCGCAGAGGCCCAGCCCUGUGUGACGUGGGGGCUCUGAGGGACAGGCAGGCAUGCUUUGUGCAUCCGCAUCUAAUCUUGUCCCUUUCUAAAAGUUAUUUAUUGGUGUAUGUUUUUCUUUUUGUAAAUUGGCCAAAGCAUAAAAGCAAAUACAAUCGGGAUUAAGGAGUUUUCUUAGGAUGGUGGAGGGUGGGUGUGCUGUGUCCUGUUGGUAUAUUGGUUGGUAUAUUGGUGUAAGCUUCCAAGAGGUCCAAAGUUUAACCUCAGAGGAUGCUGAGCCAUGGUUAAAUGCCAUGAAAGCCGAACUUGACUCCUUAGAGAGGAACAAGACAUGGGAACUGGUUCCAGGCCUGCCCAGGCCACAAAACGUUUACAAAGUUCAGUUAUUGCAAAAAAAAUUCAGUGUUAAUUUUAUGCAUUUUUUAAAAUCGCCAUGGUAUUUAACAAUAAUAUCUUAUGUCCUUUCGAGGAGAAAUUGUGAAUUGUAGAAUUUUAAAUACCCGCCAUCAUCCUUGGCUUCACUCAAUUUUGUUUAUAACACUCUUCCAUUUUCUUCCAGUUGUGAGGGUGGGGGAUGAGGAAAUUUGUGAGGGCCUCACAAAUGGAGCAGCCUAGGGCCUCUCUUCAUCUAAAUUCAGCCCUGCCUAGCUGCACAGGGGUCAGCAAACUUUUUCAGCAGAGGGCCGGUCCACUACCCCUUAGACCUUGUGGGGGGCCGGACUAUAUUUUGAAAUAAAUAAAUAACGAAUUCCUAUGCCCCACACAUAACCCAGAGGUGCAUUUUAAAUAAAAGGACACAUUCUACUCAUGUAAAAACACGCUGAUUCCUGGACCGUCCGCAGGCCAGACUGAGAAGGUGAUUGGAUCCAGGCCCCGGGCCUUAGUUUGUUUACCCAUGGCCUAGCAGCUCAUAGCUUCUCCAGCUCAGGACUCAGAAAAUCAUUAUUCCUCAGCCCCCUCUCACCCUGAAAAACAAUUAUGUUCUAUCAAUUAUGGAUGCCUAUGCAGAUGCAACCUCUGUUGGGCUCAGUGGGACUUACUCCCAGGCAAGUGGGGUGUAGGAUUGCAGCCUUAGUUACAUUGUUAAAGCAGUCAGCGAUUCAGGGAAGUUGUUAUACUGAAUUAAAAAGGGGAGACACAGACAGCUCGUUCUGCUGUGUAUGCUUGGAAUAAACAAUAAUUUACAGUAAAGGUUUUCGUGGACUAACACAUAUAUAUUUACCAGUGACUUGGCUAUUGAUCACUGUGAUAAAAGAUAAAAUACAUAUUAUAACAGGAGCAGAGAACAAGUAAAAAUAAACAGCAAAGAUAUCUGGGUAAAAUAAUCCCAUAAAUAGUGUGACUCGCCAUAAAAGUCUUCAUAAAACACUUAAUGGAAUAAUAAAACAUUUACAGCAAAACCAUCCAUAUAUUACAUUAGAUUUAUGACUUAAUUUCUUCCACCCACCAUCCACCAUAUUUGUUCAGACUCCACCAAACCUGUGUUAGAGAAGAUAAUAGCAUCCAUCUGUGGAGGUUAUUUUGCAUUUCCAGAUAAUACUGUCCAUUCAUUGGCAUUAGUGUGUGUUGUGCAGUGCAAUACCAAUGUAUGUUUACUCCUAUCAUGUUCAGUGAUACUCCAGAAACAUGUGAGGGAUUGCAGCAUUACAGUACAAUCCACUACUCUUAUCUACUCAGAAGUAAAUUCAAACUGUUUAAUUCAAGGGAACUUACCCGUAUCUCUCAUUUUGGGGUGAUUAUCUCCUGAUAGCCAGCUGUAACCCUUUGAAGAUUCCUCACAUUAAAGAUAGACUCUCCCAUUUAGUGUAUUCCAUCUUUCCUCUGAGGAUCUCCUGGAAAUAUAAAUGAUUUCACUUAUUUCCCCUGUAAAUUAGAUUAGACUGAGAGAUGGUGACUAGCCCAAUAUCACCCAAUACGUUUUGUGGGUUAGCAGUAGGGCUUUGACCCUGAGUCUCCAUUGUCUAACAACUGUUACAAACUGGUUAAAUGACCAGUAUUUAUAUGGUGUUCAUGUGUAUCCAAAGUGCUUCACAAACGUUAUCUGACUAAUUCAGAAAACACUUCUAUAAGUAGGUUAGCAUUAUUACUGUAUUUCCUUAUUGUUGAUCAGAGCCCAGAAUACAGUGACUUGCCUAACAAAGCAACUCAGUCAUUGCAAUAUUGAGAUCUGAACUACAAGCAUGGUGGUUUAAUCACUUAGGUCACAAUCCUAACCCCCACUUACUUGGGAGUAUGCCCCACUAAAUUCAAUAGGACUUACUUCUGAAUAGACUUGAUUAGGAUUGUGCUGCAAGCCACUAACUGCAGUGGCUUUCUCUAUGUGUGCUUCCUCCCACUCUGUAUUGUAUACCCGUCCACUGUUUAUUUGUUUUACAGAUAAAUAUGUAAGAACAGACACACACUCCAUCCCCCACAAAUACCCAUAGUUUGCUACAAUUUCCAAAGGGGUCACCUAGAUCAGGCUAUGCAAGAAGGACCGUACUUCCCUUCUUCUUCUCUUUCCAUGGUUCAUUUUGCAUAUCAUAAAUCCCUGAAUAUUUUACAAAAACGACACCAUUCAGUAUUCCAUUAUUACAUCCAUCAAAACUGAUUUACACUGUUGAAUUUAUCUUAAUGCUGCCAGCGUUUUCAGCUGUACACAGUUAUUUCCAUAUAUUCAAUACAGUGGUACCUCGGGUUACAUACGCUUCAGGUUACAUAUGCUUCAGGUUACAGACUCCACUAACCCAGAAAUAGUGCUUCAGGUUAAGAACUUUGCUUCAGGAUGAGAACAGAAAUCGUGCUCUGGCAGCGCGGCAGCAGCAGGAGGCCCCAUUAGCUAAAGUGGUGCUUCAGGUUAAGAACAGUUUCAGGUUAAGAACGGACCUCUGGAACGAAUUAAGUACUUAACCCAAGGUACCACUGUAAACGUUUUCCAAUCUUCUCUAAAUGUGUGUUCUUCUGGUUCUCUUAUUCUAUAUGUUAAGUCUGCAAGCUGCACAUCUUCUGUCAAUAUAAUUAUCCAUUCUUCUUUGGUUGGGACCUCGCUCAUUUUCCAUUUUGGGGCUAACAAAACAUGGGUCUCAGUAGUACAUAAGCAUAAAUAUUUAUUUAUGUAUUUCAUAAAUAAUCAUACAUAAAUAACCUUUUUUUUGAAACCUGGGAAUUUCAGUCUGAAUUAUCCCCAACAGAAAGGACUCUGUGUGUUUGGGUGGGGGGGAGUACUUUUGAACAUUUUUUUUCAAUUCAUUAUGUAUCAUUUCCCAAUACUCUUUUACCCUUGAAGAAGUUUGCUUUCUAACCACACAGCUGUUCAACUCACAUCAGUACCAAGCACCAUGACGGAUGGCUAGGGAUGAUGGGAGUUGUAGUGUUGCAUCAUUUGUAGGACCAUAUAACAGGCAUGUAAGCACUACUGUAUGAAAGAAACCUACUAUGCGCACUGACACACUUCUUUGACCUUUCACCCGAAACAUACCACCAAACCCAUUGUCUACAGCCAAGCCCUACAGCAGGGGUAGGCAACCUAAGGCCCGUGGGCCAGAUGCAGCCCAAUCGCCUUCUCAGUCCGGCCUGCGGACAGUCUGGGAAUCACCGUGUUUUUACAUGAGUAGAAUGUAUCCUUUUAUUUAAAAUGCACUUCUAGAUUAUUUGUGGGGCAUAGGAAUUCGUUCAUUUCCCCCCCCCAAAAAAAUAAAGUAGUCCGGCCCAUCACAUGGUCUGAGGGACGGUGGACUGGCCCACGGCUGAAAAAGGUUGCUGAUCCCUGCCCUACAGCCACAACUGUUCAAACUUUUUAGGUGGAAAUUACCAACUUAAACAUUUACAUCAGGCAAUCCUCAGGCAACGGUAUCCACCCAACUGUAUGAUAAUGUAAUUAUUACCAUCUCAUCUGUACUUUUCUGCAUUUCAUUUCCUCCUUAUCUCUUAUCUUAUCAUGUGUAUGACAAUUCAUGUAUCUGAUGAAAUGGACUGUCGUCUACCAAAAGGUUAUGCUCUCACAAACUGAAUGAACGAAACUUUUAUUGUUCAAAGCCGCCCCCAUAUAACCAGAACAAACUGGGUAGGCUUUAAAGCAUGCGUAGGCAAACUAAGGCCUGGGGGCCGGAUCUGGCCCAAACGCCUUCUAAAUCCGGCCCACGGGAAUCAGUGUGUUCUUACAUGAGUAGUUUGUGUCCUUUUAUUUAAAAUGUGUCUCUGAAUUAUUUGUGGGACCUGCCUGGUGUUUUUACAUGAGUAGAAUGUGUGCUUUUAUUUAAAAUGCAUCUCUGGAUUAUUUGUGGGGCAUAGGAAUUUGUUCAUUCCCCCCCCCCAAAAAAAAUAUAGUCCGGUCCCACACAAGGUCUGAGGGACAGUGGACCGCCCUCCUGCUGGAAAAGUUUGUUGACCCCUGCUUUAAGGUGCCACAAGACUCUUUGUUGCCCUAAGUCUGUUGCAAGUACAAAUAAAGAGGAUGCAGUAAGAGACUUUGUAACAUGUCCAGAAGAGAGUGUGAAGUUUCCACAAUUGCUGGAGAAUAUUAACAGAAAAAAUCGGAAGGAUGCCUAUGAUGGUAAAGAAAAAUACUGUGGUAAGGGAUGAGAAUGAGCAAGAUAAAGCGCUAGAUGAGGUACAUCUUGAUAGUUAAGAAACAAGCACUGCUGCAAGCUUGCUAUCUCCUAACUUUUGCACUUAAUAAUACUGGUAGUAGAGCACUGAUCAAAACCGACUGCAAAAAUUAAGUGCGGGCUUCCCAAGCCAUUCACAAUAUUUCCAGGUACAAAUUGCAUUGAGAAACCAGCUAAUUUAGACAGACCCUCCGGUUUAGUAUCAAAAAGCACAAAGAGGAACUUUGAGCAUUUCCUCUGCUCCUCUCCUCCCCGCCCCAACCCUCUUCCCUCUGUUUCUUUGUUGUCCCUAAUUGCCUGCACUAAUGUUUCUAUAAUUAAAUGGAAGAGAAAAGGCUGUAGCAGAUAUCUCAGAGUUGUUCCCUUUGGUAAUAAUAACACAUAUCGGGGUCAGUCUUGCCAACAUUUCUCCAUGCCCACAGGUUUUUGCAAAUUAAUGUUAAGCUUUUUAAAAAAGAAAAAAAGGGGGGGAAAGAGCAAAGCUGUACAUUUGAGCUUCUGAAAGAAGGAGGGAUGUUCCAUUGCAGAGGGUGGGCAACUUGUUCAUCACUAGGGCCACAGGUGAUUUCCAUAUUUGAAAUGAUCAUCACAUUAGCAGGAUUUACAUAAAUGGGCUCAGUCGUGGAGCUACAACUGGUGGACCUGGGGACUUGUUCCACAAAGCAAUUUAUGCAACUUACAGUGCAAUACCAGAAGAGGCAGUUCUUCAAAAGUCUAGCGGAUGCCUAUUAGUUAAUUAGGAGCUCAAUUUACACUUGCAGAGAUUCAGCAAAGAAUGGGUUUCCGUUCCUCCUUGCAAAAUGUGCACGGUUGCCAGGAGAGGAAGCACAUUUUAAGGGGAAAGACACAGCAUGUCAGAAAAGCUGAGAAGCCUCCUUGUAUCAACUGGCAGCCAUUGAAAAUGGGGAGGGCAGAGGUUUGUGGCAACACUGGAUCAUAAUACAAUGUCUAUAGGACUGGGACAGACUGGGGGCAGGGAAUACAUUCUCCUUAUCCAACUUUAGAUGAGUGAUCAGUUUCCCACCUUUCCCCAACAAACCCGAUCUUUCUGGAGGAAAUAGACACCACAAACACAUCAACGUCCAGCAAUAAUUGUUGCAGGCUCAGCUAAUAAACAUCUAUUUCUGUACAUAUGCAAGCCAAUCACAUGCAUAUUCCCAGUAGUAAAUCCAUCCAGAUCAAUACAGCCUCUUUAAUUAUUCAAAUAGUUUCAGCUAGCAAACUGAGCUAAAAAUCUGACUUUUUGGUUCAAAUCCAUAUCUGGAAUUUUAAGCGCAGGACCAAGAGCUUGGUGCCCCUAGCAGCUCCUGUAUUACUUUAGCGCGCAGUCCAGUUCUACAGACUUUGCAGAGACACACCUGUGGCCUCCAUCCUCUACCUCUUGAAAAGUGCAGCCUUUAAUCUGCUGUGUGUGUGUGUGUGUGUGUGUGUGUGUGUGUGUAAUGGAGAGCCUUUGCGAACAAGCACAAUUCAGCAUUUGCAUUUCCUCUGCUCCAUUAAGCUCCAGUUAACACAGCCGGGUGUUAACUCUGCUGCUGACUCAUCUUUGGGAAGGGAAAUUUUGGUGGAGUGGUAGAGUUUCACAGAGGUGGGGGUAUGUUCAAGGCAGCUCCUGUCUUCUCCCUGCCAGUCACCGCACAUCUAUUGUGCACUCUCUCUUUCUCCCUCUCGGAUGCAGCUGUAAAAGAGAGAAUGAGAGAGAGAGAGAACUCAACCCAAGGCCUCUAGUCAGCGUUAAAUUCCAGUCUCCCUUCUUUGCCUCCAGUCAGAAGAAUCAAUUCGCCAGUUUCAAAUGAAUGAUCAGAAGCCAGUACAAGCUGUACUGUCUUCAGUGAACUGAGACCAAAUGGAGCUUUGGCAAUUGUUGCUGCUAGUUAUUCCACAGCAGCCAACCAGAAUGACUCUCCCGCAGAAUGACUAUUUAUUCCCUCUGCUUUUCUUAUUUUAACAAGAUCUCUUGCACAAGGAUCACGGGGGCAUGUGGCAAAGAAACGUUCAAAGCUUAAAGCAAAAGGGAAUGAUAGCUUCCCCUGAAAAGGGAUGAUAUUGCACAGGGCUGAGGAACCUUUUGGACCCCACUAUAUGCCAGAUUCUUAAGGUCAGAUCUGACUGCCCACAGGGAAUUUAUUCACACAGUCAAACUGAGCAGGAUUUAAACUCCCCAUUAUCGUGGAGCAGGGGUGGGGUGGGGGUUGAUAAUCCUGCAGGGAAGCGGCACACACACACACACCCCAUCAACUGACAUCAAUGGGCCAUCACAGUUGAUUGACAGUUUUGCAUGACUUUUAUUUUUUAAGGUCUUGAAGGCCAAACAGCCCAAGAUCAACACAUGGGCCAGAUGUUCCUCACUCCUAGUAUAGCAUUAUCCCACCAAAAUGGAAAUAAGCGCACAGACCUGAUUGUUUCAAUCUUCACUGGGAAUCUACGCUACUUUCACCAUUCUUGACCUAUAUCUAUUUGAUAAAAAGGACCUGGGAUCAGAUCUGAGACCAGAAAACAUACACGAAAGGAUAGUCAAUGCAUUGGAUAUUUGUCUCCGGUCAAGGUCAAGAUAACGAUUUGGGAAGCUGGCGCUGACAGUAAGUCUUGCUUCUGGUUUUUCCAAAGUAAACUUGACCACACACUCCUCAUCUGAUUCCUUGCUUCCCUAAGCCCUGUUCAGACACUACGUUGGAGGUCAGUUCAUGCUGGGCGUGCGCAUGAAGAUGCCACCAUAAGAAAGAGUGUGCAUGACAUGUGGGAGAACCCAAGUAUACCGGGGACCGACCACACAUUCCUUUGUAUAUGUGCACAAUGCGCAGUAAAGUCUUGUGCAACUUCAUAACUGUAUGCAUAGUUGUGAUCACAUUCACAGAGGCAGCAAUAGAGAGUAGCACAGUUUGUCUACCCAGCAUACGUUGUUGUUAGAAUACCUCAGUUUUAGUUUCAUGACAGAUACAGCACAGCAGUGGCAAGAAGCCCUGUGGCCCUCAAUGUAUCAUUGGACUCUCUGCUCCCUACAGUAUAGGUUCAGGGGCAGGGGUGACCCUGAAUUGCUACCUCCUGGCCCCUCCUGCCGCAUUCCUCUUUCUCCGCCACUGCAUCCCAGUUCUUGUCAAACUUGGCAGGAGGCAGGCCACCCCUCCAAGUGCUGCCUCAUGUCUGACUUCUCCACUUGGGGACAGGGAAGGUGAAUGCCAAACGCUAUGCUCCAGAAUGCCUCCCUCUCUCGGCAUGAGGCGAAUGCUUCACCCUGCGAUAUGGGGCAGGCCGCCUCCGGUUGAAGGUUUUAUGGUUCAGGCACCAAUCAGUUUUGCACCCUCUAAACUUGUCGGAAUUGUAACUUUGCAUUUGUCCUCCUGUAAUAUCUGUAGCUCUGUGUGAGAUUAAGGGUCAGUAGGGCGAGGGAUUAUGCAAAUCCAUCAAGAGCGCUGGGUCGGGGUGGGCUUUGUGUACAAAUUAAUUCAGCGAUCUGAAGCGAGCUUACUCAAAUGUCACAAAUAAGCCCCCCACAAGAUAACAGCUGCGAGGCGUCACGCUUAAAUCAGCUUUCUGCAUUCCCUGUGUCUGUAACUGAAAUGCAAAGCGCAUAUUGACUAGAACAGAUGGGGAACCUUUAUGGGAAGUGUACCAUGAAGUCAAGGCCAAUGCAUUAUAUAAUGCCACUCUGUUGAACAACACAAAACUUUCCCUGCCCUCCUCCCAUUUACUGAAGCGGCAAGCACCCAAAAGUCUAGGUCAUGGAUGAGGACCCUUUGAUUCUUCCGGUAUCAAUGGACUACAGUUCCCAUCCUCUCUGACCAUUGGCCAUUUCCCUCCAAAGACACUUUGGGUUUUUAUCCAGCAUUUAAAAGUUGUACAUUCCAGAUUAAAAGGUGUGCUUAACAUCUCUUGUGGCGGGGGGGGGGGACAUCUGAAUGUCUAAACAUGAGCAAAUGAGGAAUUAUCCUACUUAUGCACCAGAUAGUCAAGUACCCAGGUAAUUUCCCCAUCGGGCUGUCCCUAAGAGAGUAGGAGACUGAUACCCAUUUAAAGAAUUCUAAGCAGCUCUCCUGACUCACGGAAUUAGCAUCUUAUUUGUUUGUUCCUCUCUCCAUCCCUCAAACAGGCUUGUUCUGAGGGCUGAUCUCAAUUGUUGGCAUCCAUCUCUCUCAAGAGACAAUGGGGGUGAAGUCAAACUGCUGUGAUUCUAGAUUCAGGUAGGUAGCCGUGUUGGUCUGACGCAGUCGAAAUGAUUUUAAAAAGUAUCCAAUAGUACCUUACGGACCAACUAAGUUUGUUCUGGGUAUAAUUUUUUUAAUUUAUUCAAACUGCUGUUUUAGCAGCACCGAAGUGACCUCCUCAGGUAACACUGAGAGCCAGUGUGGUGUAGUGGUUAAGAGUGGUAGUCUCGUAAUCUGGUGAACCGGGUUCGUGUCUCCGCUCCUCCACAUGCAGCUGCUGGGUGACCUUGGGCCAGUCACACUUCUUUGAAGUCUCUCAGCCCCACUCACCUCACAGAGUGUUUGUUGUGGGGGAGGAAGGGAAAGGAGAAUGUUAGCCGCUUUGAGACUCCUUCAGGUAGUGGUAAAGCAGGAUAUCAAAUCCGCACUCCUCCUCUUCUUCUUCUUCUUCUUCUUCUUCUUCUUCUUCUUCUUCUUCUUCUUCUCAGGGUGCAAGCCUGGGAAGUGUGUCUGGGGGUCCUGGGUUGCUCAGAGAACAAGACCCUCCUCUUGGCCUCACUAAGGUGGUCCAAAGGACAGCAGAGCAAUAUGUUUGGCACCAGCUUGGCUGCAGGAGUUGCUAGAAUGAGGCAUACAAGGCUCCAUCCAACCAUCUUAGAGACUUCACUCCAGAUUUGUGUAGGGUUUUCUUCUCCCAAAGAUAUCCUGCAAGGCAGCUGAGGACUAAUCUCAAUAGGGUGUGGGUGUGUGUGGGUGUGUGGGUGUGUGUAUAUAUAUAUAUAUAUAUAUAUAUAUAUAUAUAUAUAUAUUCUGCCUUUGAAAAGUUCAAAGUAUGGGGAUGACUUUCUCCCUGCCCACCUGGGGUUGGGUGACUCCAGACAGCCCCAAAGCUACAACCUUUACUGGUUUGUUUUCAAGAUCUCUAUGCCUCUUUUCAGCUUCUGCUAACCAAGGCAGUGCAUACAAAGCAGUCACAUAAAAUGCUGCAUUAAAACGAACAUCAACACUUAAAAAAAUGAAAGCAUAUGAUAUGGUUAAUUUCCCUAUUCCUUACUUCACUACACGUGUUAAUUAGCUUAGCAAUGCUAGGAUGGUUUUAACAAUUUCCAGACGAGUGGCCAGCACGUUAGUCUAUUGCAGCAAAGAGUCUUGUAGCACCUUAAAGGCAAACAACUUUAUUAUGGCACAAGGACUUUCAUGAACAAGAACCUUUGGCCCGCCAGAUGCUGCAUAACUACAACUCCCAACAGCUCUAGCAAGCAUGGCCAACGAUGGGGGAUGAUGGGAGUUGUAGUGCAGCAAAGGUUCCCUUCUGCUCAGAUACAUACUGCAGAGCCACACCAAAUGUUUAAAGCACAUUCAACACUCAUUUAAGGUGCAUGACUUCUCCCAAAGAGAGCUACACUUCUCUGCACUCUUAACAAACUGCAGUUCCAAGUGUUUUCCUGAGUUUCUGGUAUACACAUGGUUGGGUGGGAAGGCGCAAACAGAGAGGUCAGAGGGAAAUAAAAUUCACAAAGUACUUGAUAAAACACACUACAGUAUCCUGAUUCAAGCCAGAAGUGAUGGAAGCGAUUCUCUUGAUAAUUUCUAAACUGGUAGCUUCUAAGCAGCAAUCUCUAACUUCUAUACAUUUUAAGCUUUAGUUGAAUUGCUGUAGGCUGCAUGUUUUGCAUUUCAUUGCCAUUGGGUCCUCCUGUUAUGUUGGGUAGUGUGGCUUGCAGCUGUUCACAGGUUCGCACUGGUGAGCUGACAGCAGGGGCAGCCAAUGCAGUUGGACUACAACCUCCAUCAUCUCUACCUAUUGGCUGGUUGGGAGUUGUGGUUCAGCAUCUGCAGGGCACCAUAAUAGCUACUCUUGACCUACAGCAGGCAUGGCCAAACUUGGCCCUCCAGGUAUUUUGGGACUACAACUCCCAUCAUCCCUAGUUAACAGGACCAGUGGUCAGGGACGAUGGGAAUUGUAGUCCCAAAACAUCUGGCUGGCCAAGUUUGGCCAUGCCUGGAGGGAAGGCCUAAUUAUGUUGGCGAGGGAGAUUUCUUGCACAUAGUGCUAACCCUGUUUGAUUUGAUUUGAUUUUGAUUUAUUUUAUUUCUAUGCCGCUUUCCAUUCAAAUGAAUAUCAAAGUGGCUUACAAUCAAUCAAUAACAGUAACAGAACAGAACAGAACAGAACAGAAUAUCACAUGAAUCAUAUAAAAUAAUUAACAAAUCGUCAAUAAAACACUACUAACAAAACAGCAACUAAAACAUAAGCUGAACGUCACAAUUACAGCAAAAAUCAUAUUAUAUGAUUAAAAAAUCAAUACGGCAUUUAUAAUAUAUAAAACAUUAUUAGCAACAUUAACAAAACAGUAACUUUUAAAAAAAGCUAAGCACAGUUAAUGUCAUAUAACACUCUCCACACACCCAAGUCGAGUGCUUUUUUCUGGGGGGACGCAUAGCCCUAAACAUUUUGUGAAUCUUUGUACUUUUGUCCAUUUACUGUAUUUAUUUUUCCCAAUUAGAACUAUAAAAUGGUGAUUUUCUUGAGUCAAAAUGAGAGUACCCCUAAACAUUUUUUGAGGAAAAAAGCACUUCCCAAAUCUAUACCUGGUAGGAGUGGGGGAGAGAUACCAUUUUCUGCUCUAAGCAAAAUAUGCCUGAGUUCUCGGGGGAGGGGAUGCAAAAUGUUCACACACAAAAAAUUGGCUGUAAGAGUAGCAUAUCCCUCUUAAACCAGAAGUACUCCAGCUACAAAAAAGUUUAGGAAACACAGUUCAACUUAAUGGCUUUACUUGCCCUUAAGUAACAACAGGGUUCCAAACUAGAUGUGCAGCUUCGUAUCUAACUGUACUUCCCCCUGAAUACAUCACACUGGUCUGCAUGCAGGCAGCUGAAUUAGAUGACCUCCAUGUCUUUUAUAGGCCUACGAUUCGCCAGUCCCCAGGGAGAAAAGGAUUGGUAUGAGCCCCUUACUAGAUUAUGGCCAGUUUCCUCCUGUGUUCAUUAGAACCACAGGCCAUGUGCCAGGGGCAAAGGAAAGCAAGGCUUGAGCGCCUGCAGCAAAAGCAAAUCUUAGAUACGGUCUUUUAAAUGGAAUCCAUUUUUCAUAACUGAAUCAUUUCUCAGUGCAAAGCUCGGCCCAUCCUUCAGCCAGUGAUGAAUAAGCCUGAAUCAGAAUUAAACCAUAAAUCUCCAUCUUCAGAUAGGUAUACCCCUGGCUCUGCUUCCAAAUUGUCUUCUUAUUAAAAUACUGACUUCUUAUUAAAAUACUGUUGUGUUUGCAAAAAAUAAAAUAAAAUAGCCGAUUUUCUCUCUCUCUCUCCUUCUCUCUCACACAAACACAUACACACCUACACACACUUUCAAACCAUACUUUAGUCCAGGGGUCAGCAAACUUUUUCACAGGGGGCCAGUCCACUGUCCCUCAGACCCUGUGGGGGACCGGACUAUAUUUUGAAAAAUAAUAAUGAAUGAAUUCCUAUGCCCCACAAAUAACCCAGAGAUGCACUUUAAAUAAAAGGACACAUUCUACUCAUGUAAAAACAAGCUGAUUCCCGGACCGUCCGAGGGCCGGAUUUAGAAGGCAAUUGGGCUGGAUCCGGCCCCUAGGCUUUAGGUUGCCUACAUAUGCUUUAGUCCCUGGUCCCAAAGCAUUCAGAAGCGUGUGUAUUAUUGAAGCUGAUUAGGAUGCUACAGGGGAACCUGUGGCCCCGCAGAUGUCAUAGGAGAAGGAUCCAGACACAUCAAAGAAGGGUUUCAGUGAAACAUGUUGCAAACUGUAUGAGAAAUCAGGUAAGCAAACAUGGAACUCCACAGCGCCAUCUGGUGUGACAGUGUUAGAAGGCAUAAACAACGCAUAUAAAGCAUUUUUACUUUGCCAGUGUUGCGGAGUCCGGGCUAUAGCUCAGUAAUAGAAUAUCAGACUUGGAUGGAGAGAGUCUCAGGUUCAAUCGCCGACAUCUCCAGAUAGAGCUGAGAAUCUUCUCUGUCUGAAACCCUGGAGAGCCGCUGCCAGUCAGACAAUACUGAGCUGGAUAGACCGAACAUCCAAUUCAUUGUAAGGAACAUUCCUAUGUUCCUGCUUUCACCAGCGGCAGUCAGCCUGGCUAAUGGUCAGGGAUGGUGGUCAUCGUAGCCCAACGGCAUGUGGUGGGCUCAUUGCUCCUGGAAUAGCAGGUGUUUAAGGCUUUUAAUGUGGGACGCGGGUGGCGCUGUGGGUUAAAGCCUCAGCGCCUAGGACUUGCCGAUCGAAAGGUCGCGGUUCGAAUCCCCGCGGCGGGGUGCGCUCCCGUCGCUCGGUCCCAGCGCCUGCCAACCUAGCAGUUCGAAAGCACCCUCGGGUGCAAGUAGAUAAAUAGGGACCGCUUACUAGCGGGAAGGUAAACGGUGUUCCGUGUGCUGCGCUGGCUCGCCAGAUGCAGCUUGUCACGCUGGCCACGUGACCCGGAAGUGUCUGCGGACAGCGCUGGCCCCCAGCCUCUUAAAGUGAGAUGGGCACACAACCCUAGAGUCUGUCAAGACUGGCCUGUAUGGGCAGGGGUACCUUUAACUUUAAGGCUUUUAAUUGCCCCUCUUCUGCCCCAUAGCUCCCUCUUCCUGACAGUAAGAGCUGGACAGUGGAACGGUCUCCUGCAGGAGGUUCUGGACUCUCCUUCCUUGGAAGUUUCUAAGCAGAGGUUGGAUGGCCAUCUGCCAUGGAUGCUUGAGCUGAGAUUCCUACAUUGCAGGGGGUAGGACUAGAUAUGGCCCUUGGGGUCCCUUCCAGCCCCACAAAUCUAGGAUUCUAUGUAUGUCUCAUCCUCUCUUGUGGUGUAGUGGUUAAAAGCAGUAGUCUCGUAAUCUGGUGAACUGGGUUCGAUUCUCUGCUCCUCCACAUGCAGCUGCUGGGUGACCUUGGGCCAGUCACACUUCUCUGAAGUCUCUCAGCCUCACUCACCUCACAGAGUGUUUGUUGUGGGGGAAGAAGGGAAAAGGAGAUUGUUAGCCGCUUUGAGACUCCUUCGGGUAGUGAUAAAGCGGGAUAUCAAAUCCAAACUCUCUACUAUCAUACAAGAUAAUCCUGAAUACAACUUUUGUCAGGUCAGACUAUUCAUCCAUCUAGCUCCCUAUUUGCUGCUCCUAUGGGCUGGAAAUUUUCAGGAUCUCAGACAGUGCCCCUCCCCACGAUUCUCUGCUACUUGAUCAUUUCUUUGAGACUGAACCUGGGUGCUUCUGCAUGAGAAUCCCGUGCACUUCCCCUGAAUCAUGAUCCUUCCCACACCGCUGCCCAAAUUUUUAUAAUACUGCAUUUAUUGCACCGGGGAUCUAUAAUGCCAACUUGAAAUUAAGAGCCUGAGAAGUUGCUCCGAGUUUUUCUUUUGUUUUGUUCACUGGCAGAACAAAGAACAACACGUAGCCCUGUGUGCCAGAUGAAGGCAAACAAAACAAGUGAUCAAAGAAAUUAACAAUUUAAUCCAGUUUAAACACCCUCUCUCUCUGCUCUCCGGCUCCCCUAAGCAACAGUUCAGAGACUGUGCAUCAGCUUAAUCGAAAAGCUUUGCCAUUUCUAUUAGCAAAUACAUAAGAGCUUGAUUCUUCACUGUCUGGCCUUGAAACAGCAAGGAGCUGGAAUCCUCCCUGUAGACUCGAAGCACAAAUUGGAAUUACACGUUGGCUGUUGAUUGCAACAACGCCCACACCCACAUUGCACUCAAAGGUAGCUGGCGAACAGAAGGCCAAAACUGGAGGUGUCCAUUGCUUAAAGGGAACAAGCCAAAGUUACAGGACGGAUAAAAUAUUGAAAGGGCCACAAUGGGAGUAUUAAGGCUGUGGGAUGGAGCGUGGCUUUCUUUUAUCAGUGUGAGAUCUAGCUACUCCAAUGUUACUGAAAUAUACUCGAAGUCGAGUGUGGAUUUCAUGCUCUUUAUUCAGCUCAUAGUACUGAGGAAUGAAAGUUCCCCCCAAAUAUCUGCUUUAUAUACAUUAUUUACACAAUGGGCCACAAAUGAUUGGCUAAUUCCGGAAUUCUCCCGUGGGUCAAUCAGAUUGCGAAUUCACUUCCACCUGGAGCUGGAUUGGGUGGCUCCUGCAGACCAAUCAAACUGACGCAUUGUUCUAGGACCAAUCAGACUGCUGCCUUUUGGAUCCUAUUCAACUCAGUACAUAACAGUUACAGAAAAAUCUAGGUGUGAGGCUGCUCAGUCACCCAGCUCGUCAGGCAGAGCCCGUGGGUCCCUGCGGAAUAAAAAAAGGAUUCCAGCCACCAACCAGAGCAGAUAGCUGUAGACCAAAGUUUAUUGUUCAAUAGGUUCAAAGAGGAAAUUUGAACCCCGAGGAUGGGGUGACAAAGACUUUUAAAACUUUCCCACCAUAUCCCAGAAUACAGUUCGUACAGCAUCAUUGCUAUAUCAUUGCUAUAUCACUGACAUGUCACAAAAGGAGAGGGGUUAACCUUGGCAAACAUGUCCAGACAAGUCCAUGGUACAAGAUUAGCAUAAGCAGACAUGGCAGGGCAAGACUCAGGUAUAAGAUUAGCAUAGACAAAUAUGUCUUAAGUACCCACCACCCAAAAGUACAAUAGAACUUCCUUUGCAUGUCUGGAGCCUGAGGCAAGUCAGGUGAUGAGAUUUGGCUUCCCUUGACUAACAAUGAGCCCACCAACUGUCACCUCUGGGAACUUCCUGGAGUCCUUUUUCAAGGGGAAAAUAGCUUUGGAAUGGAGGAAACUGGCAAAGGAGAUGAUUUUAUAUUAUGUUUAAAGCUAGGUAACUUCCCUGAGCUGUCAAGUUGAGAGGAUACAUUCAGGCAUAAUAUUUGUAACAUUUAACUUUAAAGAUGUCCCCUCCCCCCGUAAUUUCCGUAACGCCUUCUAUGUUCAAUGUGCAGAUGGGGGGGCAUGGCUUAAUUAACCAAAAUGGCAGCCUCCAUGCACAAGAGAGGCAUCUGCAGAGUCAGCUGUGGGGGGGGACAGAGGUUUGUAAAAGUAAACAAAACAAAAAAAACCCCUCAAGGAAGGGUAGAUAUGCUAAAAAAAUAGCCAUUAGGGGACUGAGCAUGCACAGUGACCAUGGAGUGCUGACCAACUAUGGGGUGGGUAGGGGGAAAUCUGGAGGGUGGGGCAAUGGAAUAAUUGUUUGCUUGUUGUCUGUCUGUCUGUCUGUUUGUUUGUUUGUUUGUUUGUUUAUACAUACACCGCCCAUCUGGCUGGGUUUCCCCAGCUACUCUGGGUGGCUCCAAAUAGAAUAUUAAAAACACGAUAAAUACAUCAGUCCUUAAAAACCUCCCUAAGCAGGGCUGCUUUCAGAUGUUUUCUAAAAGUCAGGUACAGUGGUACUUCGGGUUAAGUACUUAAUUCGUUCCGGAGGUCCAUUCUUAACCUGAAACUGUUCUUAACCUGAAGCACCACUUUAGCUAAUGGGGCCUCCCACUGCUGCUGCGCCGCCGCCGCCGCCGCACAAUUUCUGUUCUCAUCCUGAAGCAAAGUUCUUAACCCGCAGUACUAUUUCUGGGUUAGCGGAGACUGUAACCUGAAGCGUAUGUAACCCGAGGUACCACUGUAGUUGUUUAUUUCCUUGACAUCUGAUGGGAGGGCGUUCCACAGGGCAGGCACCACUGCCCAGAAGGCCCUCUGCCUGGAAUGGCGCAGUUGCAUUCCUGAACGACAGCUCCAAAUUUGUGCAGGGUUUACUCCUUAGCCUUUUCUUCUCCCAAAGACAUGCCGCCAGUUAGUGGAGGUUUUGGACCAGAGUUUUCCUUCUUCUAGAUGGAUUACCUUCCCAGGUUGACCAGCCCCCAUCUACCCCUGGAGGGAGGGAGCCCUCUGAAAUGCACACAGUUCAGCAACUGCAAUGUAAAUGAAACAAGAAGAGCGAGAUGAUCUGUUGGGCUCUGGGGCUAAUCCUGCUCCACUUUGCUCCGUAGGAGGUUUGCUGCUGACUCUGCACUUCUAUCGACAGCUCCCCAACCAGCAGCUUGUAUGAAUUCAUUGAGAGAUUUUGGUUCUAUUUGCGAUUCUCCCACACCGCACAGUCGCCUACUAAUGACUGCCGCAUUUCGGAUGCAUGUUGGCAUCCUCCGAGGCCCAAAAUAAAUAUUUAACGUCCCC